CCUACGGGAGGCAGCAGUGAGGAAUAUUGGUCAAUGGACGAGAGUCUGAACCAGCCAAGUAGCGUGAAGGAUGACUGCCCUAUGGGUUGUAAACUUCUUUUAUAAAGGAAUAAAACGAGGCACGUGUGCCUUUUUGCAUGUACUUUAUGAAUAAGGAUCGGCUAACUCCGUGCCAGCAGCCGCGGUAAUACGGAGGAUCCGAGCGUUAUCCGGAUUUAUUGGGUUUAAAGGGAGCGUAGAUGGGUUGUUAAGUCAGUUGUGAAAGUUUGCGGCUCAACCAUAAAAUUGCAAUUGAUACUGGCAGUCGUGAGUACAGUUGAGGUAGGCGGAAUUCGUGGUGUAGCGGUGAAAUGCUUAGAUACCACGAAGAACCCCGAUUGCGAAGGCAGCUUACUAAACUGUGACUGACAUUGAUGCUCGAAAGUGUGGGUAUCAAACAGGAUUAGAUACCCCGGUAGUC
rnacentral:rRNA from 1 species